AUUUAAAAAUGCUUUUGCAACCUGACACUGUUCAGCUUUUUUAUCUUUUACCAGUAUUUGGGGACUUAUUGGGGAUUCCUUUGAUAAUUUCAGGAAGAAAGAAGUGGAAUGGAAGGAGCCAGUAACUGUCCCAGGUCAGAAAACGCCUCUGAAAAGGAUCUACAUUACACCCAAAGUUCAUUGGAUAACUGCACCCUCAACAAUCAGGAGACAAUAAGUGGUGUAGACAGAGCUAAUAUCUUCCCCAAAUCAGAUGGUACCUCUGAAGACAUUCAGCAUUCCACAGACUGUUCACAGGUUGAGACUUUCCACAUUCAGGAGACAAUAAGUGGUACGAACCAAGCCAGUAACUGCCCCAAAUCAGAUGGUGCCUCUGAAGACAAUCAGCAUUGCACAGACAGUUCACAGCAUGACAGUAUCUUCCACAUUCAGGAGACAAUAAAGGGUAUGAACCAAGCCAGUAACUGCCCCAAAUCAGAUGGUGCCUCUGAAGACAAUCAGCAUUGCACAGACAGUCCACAGCAUGACAGUAUCUUCCACAUUCAGGAGACAAUAAAGGGUAUGAACCAAGCCAGUAACUGCCCCAAAUCAGAUGGUGCCUCUGAAGACAAUCAGCAUUGCACAGACAGUCCACAGCAUGACAGUAUCUUCCACAUUCAGGAGACAAUAAAGGGUAUGAACCAAGCCAGUAACUGCCCCAAAUCAGAUGGUGCCUCUGAAGACAAUCAGCAUUGCACAGACAGUUCACAGCAUGACAGUAUCUUCCACAUUCAGGAGACAAUAAAGGGUAUGAACCAAGCCAGUAACUGCCCCAAAUCAGAUGGUGCCUCUGAAGACAAUCAGCAUUGCACAGACAGUUCACAGCAUGACAGUAUCUUCCACAUUCAGGAGACAAUAAAGGGUAUGAACCAAGCCAGUAACUGCCCCAAAUCAGAUGGUGCCUCUGAAGACAAUCAGCAUUGCACAGACCGUCCACAGCAUGACAGUAUCUUCCACAUUCAGGAGACAAUAAAGGGUAUGAACCAAGCCAGUAACUGCCCCAAAUCAGAUGGUGCCUCUGAAGACAAUCAGCAUUGCACAGACAGUCCACAGCAUGACAGUAUCUUCCACAUUCAGGUA
rnacentral:lncRNA from 1 species